GUGUCAGCAGCCGCGGUAAGACGAACCGUCCAAACGUUACUCGGAAUUACUGGGCUUAAAGGGUGCGUAGGCGGCUCUGUAAGUUGGGUGUGAAAGACCUCGGCUCAACCGAGGAAUUGCGCCCAAAACUACAGGGCUUGAGGAAGGCAGAGGUGAGCGGAACUUGCGGUGGAGCGGUGAAAUGCGUUGAUAUCGCAAGGAACACCAGUGGCGAAAGCGGCUCACUGGGCCUUUUCUGACGCUGAGGCACGAAAGCUAGGGGAGCGAAGAGGAUUAGAAACCCUGGUAGUCC
rnacentral:rRNA from 1 species